GGGUUGUGAGGUUAAGCGACUAAGCGUACACGGUGGAUGCCCUGGCAGUCAGAGGCGAUGAAGGACGUGCUAAUCUGCGAUAAGCGUCGGUAAGGUGAUAUGAACCGUUAUAACCGGCGAUUUCCGAAUGGGGAAACCCAGUGUGUUUCGACACACUAUCAUUAACUGAAUCCAUAGGUUAAUGAGGCGAACCGGGGGAACUGAAACAUCUAAGUACCCCGAGGAAAAGAAAUCAACCGAGAUUCCCCCAGUAGCGGCGAGCGAACGGGGAGCAGCCCAGAGCCUGAAUCAGUGUGUGUGUUAGUGGAAGCGUCUGGAAAGGCGCGCGAUACAGGGUGACAGCCCCGUACACAAAAAUGCACAUGCUGUGAGCUCGAUGAGUAGGGCGGGACACGUGGUAUCCUGUCUGAAUAUGGGGGGACCAUCCUCCAAGGCUAAAUACUCCUGACUGACCGAUAGUGAACCAGUACCGUGAGGGAAAGGCGAAAAGAACCCCGGCGAGGGGAGUGAAAAAGAACCUGAAACCGUGUACGUACAAGCAGUGGGAGCCUCUUUUAUGGGGUGACUGCGUACCUUUUGUAUAAUGGGUCAGCGACUUAUAUUCUGUAGCAAGGUUAACCGAAUAGGGGAGCCGAAGGGAAACCGAGUCUUAACUGGGCGUUAAGUUGCAGGGUAUAGACCCGAAACCCGGUGAUCUAGCCAUGGGCAGGUUGAAGGUUGGGUAACACUAACUGGAGGACCGAACCGACUAAUGUUGAAAAAUUAGCGGAUGACUUGUGGCUGGGGGUGAAAGGCCAAUCAAACCGGGAGAUAGCUGGUUCUCCCCGAAAGCUAUUUAGGUAGCGCCUCGUGAAUUCAUCUCCGGGGGUAGAGCACUGUUUCGGCAAGGGGGUCAUCCCGACUUACCAACCCGAUGCAAACUGCGAAUACCGGAGAAUGUUAUCACGGGAGACACACGGCGGGUGCUAACGUCCGUCGUGAAGAGGGAAACAACCCAGACCGCCAGCUAAGGUCCCAAAGUCAUGGUUAAGUGGGAAACGAUGUGGGAAGGCCCAGACAGCCAGGAUGUUGGCUUAGAAGCAGCCAUCAUUUAAAGAAAGCGUAAUAGCUCACUGGUCGAGUCGGCCUGCGCGGAAGAUGUAACGGGGCUAAACCAUGCACCGAAGCUGCGGCAGCGACGCUUAUGCGUUGUUGGGUAGGGGAGCGUUCUGUAAGCCUGUGAAGGUGUGCUGUGAGGCAUGCUGGAGGUAUCAGAAGUGCGAAUGCUGACAUAAGUAACGAUAAAGCGGGUGAAAAGCCCGCUCGCCGGAAGACCAAGGGUUCCUGUCCAACGUUAAUCGGGGCAGGGUGAGUCGACCCCUAAGGCGAGGCCGAAAGGCGUAGUCGAUGGGAAACAGGUUAAUAUUCCUGUACUUGGUGUUACUGCGAAGGGGGGACGGAGAAGGCUAUGUUGGCCGGGCGACGGUUGUCCCGGUUUAAGCGUGUAGGCUGGUUUUCCAGGCAAAUCCGGAAAAUCAAG
rnacentral:rRNA from 1 species